rnacentral:rRNA from 1 species
UACGUAGGGUGCGAGCGUUGUCCGGAAUUAUUGGGCGUAAAGAGCUCGUAGGCGGUGUGUCACGUCGGCCGUGAAAACCUGCAGCUUAACUGUGGGCGUGCGGUCGAUACGGGCAUCACUGGAGUUCGGCAGGGGAGACUGGAAUUCCCGGUGUAGUGGUGAAAUGCGUAGAUAUCGGGAGGAACACCAGUGGCGAAGGCGACUACCUGGCCUGUUCUUGACGCUGAGGCGCGAAAGCUAGGGGAGCAAACGGGG